rnacentral:rRNA from 1 species
UGGAUUAAGAGCUUGCUCUUAUGAAGUUAGCGGCGGACGGGUGAGUAACACGUGGGUAACCUGCCCAUAAGACUGGGAUAACUCCGGGAAACCGGGGCUAAUACCGGAUAACAUUUUGAACUGCAUGGUUCGAAAUUGAAAGGCGGCUUCGGCUGUCACUUAUGGAUGGACCCGCGUCGCAUUAGCUAGUUGGUGAGGUAACGGCUCACCAAGGCAACGAUGCGUAGCCGACCUGAGAGGGUGAUCGGCCACACUGGGACUGAGACACGGCCCAGACUCCUACGGGAGGCAGCAGUAGGGAAUCUUCCGCAAUGGACGAAAGUCUGACGGAGCAACGCCGCGUGAGUGAUGAAGGCUUUCGGGUCGUAAAACUCUGUUGUUAGGGAAGAACAAGUGCUAGUUGAAUAAGCUGGCACCUUGACGGUACCUAACCAGAAAGCCACGGCUAACUACGUGCCAGCAG